GGGCCUGUAGCUCAGCUGGUAGAGCAGUUGACUCUUAAUCAAUUGGUCGGGGGUUCGACUCCUCCCAGGCCCACCA
rnacentral:tRNA from 1 species